UACGUAGGGUGCAAGCGUUGUCCGGAAUUAUUGGGCGUAAAGAGCUCGUAGGCGGUUCGUCGCGUCGGCUGUGAAAACCCGGAGCUCAACUCCGGGCCUGCAGUCGAUACGGGCGGACUUGAGUGUUGCAGGGGAGACUGGAAUUCCUGGUGUAGCGGUGAAAUGCGCAGAUAUCAGGAGGAACACCGGUGGCGAAGGCGGGUCUCUGGGCAACUACUGACGCUGAGGCACGAAAGCGUGGGGAGCGAACAGGG
rnacentral:rRNA from 1 species